rnacentral:rRNA from 1 species
GACGAACGCUGGCGGCGUGCUUAACACAUGCAAGUCGAACGAUGAAGCCGGAGCUUGCUCCGGUGGAUUAGUGGCGAACGGGUGAGUAACACGUGAGCAAUCUGCCCUUGACUCUGGAAUAACUGCGGGAAACUGUAGCUAAUACCGGAUACGACACCGUGGGGCAUCCCAGGGUGUGGAAAGAAUUUCGGUCAAGGAUGAGCUCGCGGCCUAUCAGCUAGUUGGUGAGGUAAUGGCUCACCAAGGCGACGACAGGUAGCCGGCCUGAGAGGGUGACCGGCCACACUGGAACUGAGACACGGUCCAGACUCCUACGGGAGGCAGCAGUGGGGAAUAUUGCACAAUGGGCGAAAGCCUGAUGCAGCAACGCCGCGUGAGGGAUGAAGGCCUUCGGGUUGUAAACCUCUUUUAGCAGGGAAGAAGCGAAAGUGACGGUACCUGCAGAAAAAGCACCGGCUAACUACGUGCCAGCCGCCGCGGUA